AUUAAUAGUGACGGACUUGCGCCGCCUCCUGCGCAGUCAAAUUGCGAUGUUCCUUUAAACUAACUAUUAA
rnacentral:tRNA from 1 species